AUAGUGAGACCCCAUCUCUACAAGAAAAAAAAAAUGGGCAAAAAAUUUGAACAGACACCUCACCAAAGAAGAUGGCAAAUAAGCGUAGGAAAAAAUGCUUAAGAUCAUGCAUCAUUAGGGAAUUCCAAAUUAAAACAACAAUGAGAUACUACUGUACACCUAUUAGAAUGGCUAAAAUCUAAAACAUUGACAACACCAAAUGGUGAUCAGGAUGUGGAGCAACAGGAACUCCCAUUCAUUGCUGGUGGGAGUCAAAACAGUACAGCUACUUUGGGAGAAAGUUUGACAGUUUUGUAUAAAAUUAAACCUACUCUUGCCAUAUGGUCUAGCAAUUGUCCUUUUGUAUUUAGUCAAAGGAGUUGAAAACUUAUGUCUACACAGAAACCUACACAUGAGUGUUUAUGGCAGCAUUAUUCACAGUUGCUAAAACUUGGAAGCAACCAAUAUGUCCUUCUGUAGAUAAAUCAGUGAAUAAACUAUAUGGUACAUCCAUAUAAUGGAAUAUUAUUCAGUGCUAAAAAGAAACAAGCUAUGAAUCCAUGAAAAGACAUAGAAGAACCUUAAAUGCUUAUUAUUAAAUGAAAUAUUUUGAAAAGGCUAUAUACUAUAUGAUCCCAACUAUAUGUAAUUCUGGAAAAGGCAAAACUAUGGAGAUAGUAAAAUGAUCACUGGGUGUCAGGGGCUUUGGGAGGAAGGGAUGAAUAAAUAGAGCACAUGGGAUUUUUAGGGCAGUGAAACAGUACCAUAUGAUACCAUAAUGAUAGAUACAUGUCAUUAUACAUUUGCUAAAACCCAUAGAAUAUACAACACCAAAUGUGAACCCUAAUCCAAACAUAUGGACGUUGGGUGAUAAUGAUGUGUCAAUGUUGGUUCACUAGUUGUAACAAAUUGUUUGUUAUGCAGCACCACUCUGGUGCUGGAUGUCCAUAGCAGGGGAGGCUGUGUGUGGAGGCAGGGGGUCUGUGGGAUAGCUCUAUAUGUUCCACUCACUUUUGCUGUGAACUUAAAAUGCCCUUUAAAAGUCUACAUAGGCUGGACACAGUAGCUCAUGCUUGUAAUCCCAGCACUUUGGGAGGCCAAGGCAGGUGGAUUACUUGAGCCUAGGAGUUCGAGACCACCCUGGGCCACAUGGUUAAACUCCAUCUCUACAAAAAAACACAAAAUUAGCUGGGCGUGGUGGUGUGUGCCUAUAGCCCCAGCUACUCAGAAGGCUGUAGCAGAGGAUCACCUGAGCCCUGGAGGUGGAAGUUGCAGUGAGCUGAGAUUGCGCCAUGCACUUCAGCCUGGAUGACACAGUAAGAUGACAUUUCAAAAAAAGUCUAUGUAAAAUAGUUGAGGGGAGAAGGAUUGGGAAAUCAGUAUAUUGUAGAAAAACUAUGUGAAAAUAUUUUAUGUUUAUAUAAAAUUAAGUUCCAUUCCCUAAAGAAUAAGGGAUAAGAUAUAGAAAAGCUCCAGAUUCUCAAGAUGAUGGAGAGCACCCAAAGCAUUCUUUUUCUAUUUUAUUUUAUUUUUUUAGAGAUGGGAUUUCACUCUGUCUCCCAGGCGGGAGUGCGGUGGUGCGAUCAUAGCAGAGACUACAAGUGUGUACCACAUGCUUGGCUACGAACCUGAAGUAUUCUGAUGCAGUGGAGAGAGUGUAGAACUCUGGAGUGAAGAGACCUGCCUGGAACCCUGACUUUGUCACUAGGUGUGAAUUCCUUAUGGCUGCCCCAGGACUGGAUACUGGAUGCCAUUCAACAAACACUGGAGAUUCCUUGGAAUGAAACCAAUGGGAGUCCAGGGUUUGGGAGAGUCUCAUCAGAGCAGAUGGGCCAGCAGCAGCCAGAACGCUUGUUGCCUUUGGCUGAGAACACUAUCCUGGAUCUGACUAUCUUAUUUGUCACUCCAAGAGAUGGCCCUGGGACUGAGAAGUGGAUGGCAGCCGUGACAGCGGGAGAGGACUGCCUGAGGCUCCCAGGCAGAGGCUCUGGUGCCAGGUUUAGCAGCAGGACUGACAGCAGACCCAGCAGCCAGGGAGUGAAAGGUGGGUAAAUUGAGGCCCGAGGAGAGGAAUGGACUUGCUGUGGACAUUCCAAGAGCCCAGAAACAACUCAGGCCAAGGCCAGCUUCUCAGCCCCCUUGGCCCACUCCAUCCCGUCAGCUCUCCCAGGAACUACCAGCACCCACCUAAGGGACACCAGCCGCCCUGUGAAAGGACAGGCCAGAGACCCCUGGAGCUCGGAUGUGGAAGGAUGUGGGGAGCCGCCUGGUCCUUUCUCCCACUGCCGCAGAGGGACAUGAGGGACGGAGCAGGAUUGGCAACCUGGAGAGAAAGUCACUCCUGGUCCUGAGCCCUGUUCAAAGGGUCAGGCUCCCCUCUACCCCACUGUCCAUGUGACAGAGCUCAAACAGACCCCAACUUUCCCUCCAACUCCAAUGCUGUCAGCACCUCAAGUGGCUGGAACAGGAUUGGCACAGGCUGCAGCCAUACCUGGGACUGGAGGUUCUCCUGCACCCAACAGGCCCUUUUGCGUCUACUAGGAGGCUUGGAAUGGAGCAUUGACACAGAAGCAGGAGGAGGAAGGAGAGAGCAGAGACCAGAGACCCUGCAAAAAUGGAGGGCCUGCAGCAGCUGGAGAGGGCUGAGUCCUCCCAAGCCCCUGCUUUCCAUGGGGCACUUGCCAGGCAGCCACUCACAAAGCAUGUCGCUGGCAGGGAUGCGCCAGACCAGGUCUCCUGGCACCAUCUCUGGCCACACUCAAGGAACACAGUUAUCCCUGAUGCUCCUGGCCUCUCUCCCUGAGCAGUAGUCACCAGGGCCCACCUGACUCAUGAUAGCUCCUGCCCAAUGGGUACAAGUGGAGCUGGUGCUGGGCCCGGGCUGCCUCCCACCCAGGUGCCUGGCCUGUGGUUCCAAGGUGGCCUCCCAGGCCCAGCACCACCAGCAGCAGCAACAGGCCACUGUCCAGUGAGGCCCAGUGGGUCACUGAGGAGCCGCCUCUACCCAGGGAUCCUGCGUCCCACCAUGGCCCUCUCUAGGGCAUCUGCAUUGAAGGAUGCCACAACCUUCUGCCAAUCUGACCAUCCCAGGCGAGAAAGCUGAUGCAGCCCCAGACCACACUCCAGAUUCAAGGGCCUUGCUGGGGACAGACAAGGUGGAACAUAACAUGUCUGCCCAGGUGAGGGAGGACUCCCCAGUCCCACCACUCAGAGCCCUGCUGGUGGGGUCACAUCAUCGGCACCCGCCUCAGGGGCUGGACUGGUGUCAUGCCAGCUGGGAUGCCUGGUUUGGGAGGAGCCUGACUGGGGCCUCUGUUUGGCAAGGCGUCCCUGGCAGCUGUGGGUACCUGCCUGUGUACCCCCAUUCUCAGGGUUUUGCACCUUCUGUGCUGUGGGUCCCCACGCUAAACAGCAUUAGAUACUGAUAACCUUCUUGACUACACUGAAGCCAACUUCCUGCUGCCCACCAGCCUCAAUGAGGGCAACAGACCCCUCUGCCCUGGCCGGCCUCGCACGGGGCUAAAGACACCCAUGGCUCCUGCCGGCAGGGUCCACACAGGCCACCUCGCUGCCCGUCCCCUCCCUCGGCCCCUCCUUAAGCACUCCUGCAGGCUCUCCCAGCUGCUGCCAGCACAUCCCGGGUGAGGCUUGCCCGGACCCACAGGCAACUUGGGCCCCUGCCAAGCCAGAAUCCACUCUCAGCUGUGCCUUUCUCAGCCCUGAGCAAAGCAGAUCGGUGGAGUCAGAGGCACCCUCGGGGCAGGCAGGGGAGGAGUGCGUUCCUCGGGGAAAGGCUGGGAACUACCAUAGGCUGGCAAAUCGGCCCCGGGCCGGGGCGCCCUGACUUACAGGCUUUGCCUGAUUUCUGUGGUGUAAAUUCUCCCCUUGUGCCCAGUUUCAAGCUACUAAUGUGUCGUGGACCAGAACUGGGGAGCAACAGAGUCAGCUGGCCACGAUGCCAGCCACUGCUGAGCUGCCAAACCUUAUGCAUCCCAGGAGGCACCUGCCUAGAGGUCACGCACUGCACUGGACCCUCAGACACAGCUUGUGCAGCCUGCUUAGGAGCUUGGGAAAUGACUGUCAUCUGUGAUCUUGCUGGUCCCAGGAAACCCAUUUUACAGAUGAGGAAACUGAGGCCCAAAGGCGUGAAGCGACCUCUCUCAGCCUUACCAAGAGCACUGGAAGGUGGCGUAGGGCUGGGGCUGUACCCAUAGAGAGCACAGCAGCAGGAAGCCUCCUGGGCCUCCAGCUCCCCUCCCUCAGAAGCCUCCCAGAGUGACAGGAAGGUCGGAGGCCCCAGGGAGGGGAUGGGGCCAGGAUCUGGCAAUUUCCUAUCCCUCUCUGUUGGCUCUGUGCAUCUAAUUAAUCCUUCAGUCAUCUGUUGCUAACCAGGAGGGGAAAUUAAAUACUAAUAAUGUAAUACUUCUCUGUGAUUGCCCCUUGUUGGGGACAGAUCAGAGGGCAGAUGCUGCCCCAUAUAGACAGGGGACACAUGCUGUGGAACGUGCAUAAUGCCUCUUGAAAGAACAACCUUAUAGGAUUCCACGCGGUCAGACUCAAAACUGCUACUUGUUCCUGCCUUCCUCCUCACCUUCCCCAACCCGGCCACUUUAAUUAAAACUCCAUUUAAUCAAAA